rnacentral:misc_RNA from 1 species
UGGCUCUCGCAACGAUGAAGAACGCAGCGAAAUGCGAUAUGUAGUGUGAAUUGCAGAAUUCAGUGAAUCAUCGAAUCUUUGAACGCACAUUGCGCUCUCUGGUAUUCCGGGGAGCAUGCUCGUUUCAGAAUCAUUACAAUCUCAAAGUUCCCUCUUGGGUCUCAUGAUCCGAGGGGUGUCGCUUUGGAUUUUGAACCCCCUUUUUUGUGCUCCGGCGCAAUGGUUCUAAAAUGAUUGUGUGCACGUCAGGUCCACGGGUACCUAGCGUCUCAAGUGCAACAGAUGUUUUUCAUUUCGUUACCGCUUGAGUGUGCUGGUCCGUUUUAACUGGUCCUGUAUGUGUUACCUCAACCUCCUUUGACAGGCGCGUCGUGAAAAUCGACAACUCCUUGAUACUUGGUCUGAAAUCGAGCAAGAAAACCCGCUGA